rnacentral:rRNA from 1 species
UACGUAGGGUGCGAGCGUUGUCCGGAAUUACUGGGCGUAAAGAGCUCGUAGGCGGUGUGUCACGUCGGCCGUGAAAACCUGCAGCUUAACUGUGGGCGUGCGGUCGAUACGGGCAGACUAGAGUUCGGUAGGGGAGACGUGGAAUUCCUGGUGUAGCGGUGAAAUGCGCAGAUAUCAGGAGGAACACCGGUGGCGAAGGCGGGUCUCUGGGCCGAAAACUGACGCUGAGGAGCGAAAAGCGUGGGGAGCGAACAGG